rnacentral:lncRNA from 1 species
ACCUGGCCCGCGCUCACCUUGAGGCCGCGGAUCUCGCCGAGGUGCAGCUGCAGGCGGCGGUUCACCUCGCGGAUGAGGUUGCUGUGGUCCAGCAUCGCGCUCACCUUCUCCGCCUCGGCGCGCCGCAGGCUGCGGAUCAGCUCCUCCUUGCUCCACUGCAGCAGCUCCUCGUCCGACACUUUGGACAGGUCCUCCACCGGCGCGGGCGGGGCCGCGGACGAGCCGGCCGGGGCUGGGGAACAACUUUCCGCCGCCGCCGCAGCCGCCGCCGCGCCUCCGGCCGCCUUCGACAUGGUACUAUGGCAGAAAUGGCCAGGGAAGGGUUUAUCUAACCACCAGGAGUACGCAAAGAAGAGAGGUCCAGCCAGCCUGCCUCUCAGAUUGUUAAGAUGCCAGGUGUCUUUUGGCUCAUGGAAACAGCUGUUCUGCCCCCUCCCGAACCCUAGACUCACAGCUACACUCUAUGGGUGGGACCAAAAUGCAAUUGCAUAUUUCUUUAUAAGCAGGAGAUUUCACAAAGAAAAGGAGAAGGCAAGAACCACAGAGGCAAAGAUUGGAGAGAUGUGGCUGCAAGUCAGGCAGUAUCUAGCUGCCACUAGAUACUGGAAGAGUCAAGGAAUGGACUCUCCCUGGAGACUCCAGAGAAAACCUAGCCCUUCUGACUCCUUGAUUGUUGCCUUAUAAGACUCAUUUCAGACUUUAGGCUGCGUAUGAGAGAAUAAAUUUCUGUUGUUUUAAGCCACAAAGUUUGUGACCACAAUAAUAAUAUAGCACCAUUUAUAACAAAGCACUAUGUUUUUAUCUGUAUUAGUAUAGUUAUCACCGUCUUUCUUACUUUAUACCUGGUGGAUACCUAUUGAUUUUCUUUUUAGAGGGCAGGGAUCUGUCUUAUUCAUGAGUGAAUACUCUGCUGCACCUGGGAACUAAAGUGUUUGCCAUAGGAGUGCAGUAAAGUUUGUUCAAAUGGAUCUGAAGCUCAGUCUCUGUGGUGCCCAUAUUCUUGUGUGCAUACAGGGAAAGGACAAAGGGAAGGCUGCUUCCUGAAGAGAUCUCCAUAUGGAAGAGCUGCAGAUCACAAACAACCCACACAGCCAUUGUAACGCCUGCUUGCCUGGUCACUUGUGUUUCUGAGAAGCCAUAACUCCAAGAAUAGCGAAGGGAAGAAAAUGCCAAAAAGCAGGGGCUGCCUAACAGGUCUGACUUGCAAGGCAAACUCCUGGCAGGCCUGGCCAGCUUCUGCUUGUCCCAGUGCAAUCCCACCCCCAUAGGAUCUGGAAUUUUUCAGUCCCUUUGCUAAGAUUCCUGAAAUAGACUUAAUGAAGAGCCUCAGAAGUGAAAAUUCCUCUUCACACAUUUGCUCAAGAAGAUUGCUUUUCUCCUAACACAGAAAUCAGCUGCCUUGAGGAUGUGCAAGUUUGAUUAGGGAGUCUGCUCUUGCCUAUUUCUCAAACGGUUCAGGCCCUGACAGAAUCAGUGUCACCCCUAAGGUAUUUGCUUCAAAUGCCCCCCAUAUAAUCAAAACUUAUAAAUGAUAAACCAAAAGUUGAGGUACACUCAUUGCCUUUCAGAAUGAAACCUUCCAAGGGGCCAUGAUCAUAUUGUGACUGGACAAGAACUAUCAUGGAUGAGGCACAUCAUCUUUUGGAACCAUCUAUGGAACAGAUAUUAUUAUUCCAUUUUGCGGAAGAGGAAUCUGAGGCUCAGGCCAGACAGAUGCAGCUAACGUUGAGUGGCAUCCUGAUGAUCACCUUCAUCACAAAAGGAAGGAGUGCUCUGAGGACUGUAGGUGGCUCUCAGAACCCUGACCUCCACGGCAGCCAUCAAGGAGUGGCAAAGGGGGUCCACAGUGGCAUAUGCAGUGAGAUCCAAGUUUUAGGCAUUCGGAGUAGAGCAAGCCACGAAUGAGAACAGGUUCUGAAAGUGACAGAAAAGGAGUCACUUUUUUGGUUCCAUAUGAACUUUAAGGUAGUUUUUUCCCAGUUCUGUGAAGAAAGUCAUUGGUAGCUUGAUGGGGAUGGCAUUGAAUCUAUAAAUUACCUUGGACAGUAUGGCCAUUUUCAUGAUAUUGAUUCUUCCUACCCAUGAGCAUGGAAUGUUCUUCCAUUUGUUUGUAUCCUCUUUUAUUUCCUUGAGCAGUGGUUUGUAGUUAUCCUUGAAGAGGUUCUUCACAUCCCUUGUAAGUUGGAUUCCUAGGUAUUUUAUUCUCUUUGAAGCAAUUGUGAAUGGGAGUUCACUCAUGAUUUGGCUCUCUGUUUGUCUGUUGUUAGUGUAUAAGAAUGCUUGUGAUUUUUGUACAUUGAUUUUGUAUCCUGAGACUUUGCUGAAGUUGCUUAUCAGCUUAAGGAGAUUUUGGGCUGAGACAAUGGGGUUUUCUAGAUAUACAAUCAUGUCAUCUGCAAACAGGGACAAUUUGACUUCCUCUUUUCCUAAUUGAAUACCCUUUAUUUCCUUGUCCUGCCUAAUUGCCCUGGCCAGAACUUCCAACACUAUGUUGAAUAGGAGUGGUGAAAGAGGACAUCCCUGUCUUGUGCCAGUUUUCACAGGGAAUGCUUCCAGUUUUUGCCCAUUCAGUAUGAUAUUGGCUGUGGGUUUGUCAUAGAUAGCUCUUAUUAUUUUGACAUACGUCCCAUCAAUACCUAAUUUAUUGAGAGUUUUUAGCAUGAAGCGUUGUUGAAUUUUGUCAAAGGCCUUUUCUGCAUCUAUUGAGAUAAUCAUGUGGUUUUUGUCUUUGGUUCUGUUUAUAUGCUGGAUUACAUUUAUUGAUUUGUGUAUAUUGAACCAGCCUUGCAUCCCAGGGAUGAAGCCCACUUGAUCAUGGUGGAUAAGCUUUUUGAUGUGCUGCUGGAUUCGGUUUGCCAGUAUUUUAUUGAGGAUUUUUGCAUCAAUGUUCAUCAGGGAUAUUGGUCGAAAAUUCUCUUUUUUGGUUGUAUCUCUGCCCGGCUUUGGUAUCAGGAUGAUGCUGGCCUCAUAAAAUGAGUUAGGGAGUAUUCCCUCUUUUUCUAUUGAUUGGAAUAUCACCAAGUCCAUCCUAAGCCAAAAGAACAAAGCUGGAGGCAUCACACUACCUGACUUCAAACUAUACUACAAGGCUACAGUAACCAAAACAGCAUGGUACUGGUACCAAAACAGAGAUAUAGAUCAAUGGAACAGAACAGAGCCCUCAGAAAUAACACCGCAUAUCUACAAUUAUCUGAUCUUUGACAAACCUGACAAAAACAAGCAAUGGGGAAAGGAUUCCCUAUUUAAUAAAUGGUGCUGGGAAAACUGGCUAGCCAUAUGUAGAA